UACAGAGGGGGCAAGCGUUGUUCGGAAUUACUGGGCGUAAAGGGCGCGUAGGCGGCCGCCUAAGUCAGACGUGAAAUCCCUCGGCUCAACCGGGGAACUGCGUCUGAUACUGGGUGGCUUGAAUUCGGGAGAGGGAUGCGGAAUUCCAGGUGUAGCGGUGAAAUGCGUAGAUAUCUGGAGGAACACCGGUGGCGAAGGCGGCAUCCUGGACCGGGAUUGACACUGAGGCGCGAAAGCCAGGGGAGCAAACGGG
rnacentral:rRNA from 1 species